CUUCUAUUUAAUAUACUGGUAGAUAAUAGUAGGGGUGGCAAAAUAUUAUCCGACCCACCAAUCUGACCAGUAUUCGAUCCAUCUUGAACAGGUUUGGGCCUAGCCUAAAUGAAUUUGGAUCGUAAAUGAGUUAACUCAUUUAAUCUAUUUAAUAUUUUAAUCAAAUUUAUGUUUCAGAUGUCUAACCUGUUUAACCCAUUUAAUUUUUGGGCC
rnacentral:lncRNA from 1 species